rnacentral:rRNA from 1 species
AGAGUCUGUUCCUGGCUCAGAACAAACGCUGGCGGCGUGCUUAACACAUGCAAGUCGAACGCGAACGAGUUCUUCGGGACUUUAGUAGAGUGGCGCACGGGUGAGUAACGCGUAAGUAACCUACCCUCGCAUUUGGGAUAACCCACCGAAAGGUGUGCUAAUACCGGAUACGUCGUGAUUAAUAUCUUUUAUCACGAGAAAGGUGGCCUCUGAUCUAAGCUACUGUGCGGGGAGGGGCUUGCGUACCAUUAGCUCGUUGGUAGGGUAACGGCCUACCAAGGCGAUGAUGGUUAGCGGGUCUGAGAGGAUGAUCCGCCACACUGGAACUGGAACACGGACCAGACUCCUACGGGAGGCAGCAGUGAGGAAUAUUGCGCAAUGGGGGCAACCCUGACGCAGCGACGCCGCGUGGAUGAUGAAGGCCUUCGGGUUGUAAAAUCCUGUCAGAUGGGAAGAAAUGACAUCUAUUCAAUAUGUAGGUGUUUUGACGGUACCAUCAAAGGAAGCACCGGCUAACUCCGUGCCAGCAGCCGCGGUAAU